GGACCUAAUUUUAGGAAUAUUUUUUACUUUAUGAAUAAAAAUU
rnacentral:rRNA from 1 species